UGAAACCCCAAACGCCGUUCUGGUCUGUUUGAUCUGUUUCUCAGUCGCACCCGGAAGUCCCGUAUUGCUGCGCCUCUUGGUUAAGGAAGGUAGAAACUGUGCGGACGGACCGUCGCUAGCUUACAGUUGAUAAACGAAUUUAGCUACAAUGGGUUUGCCAUCUAGGUGUUGCUGACCUCUUAUGGAAGUGGACCUCCUCCCUCCAGAAGCGCCAUGCGAGGGUAUCACUCCAAGCUGGACUCAUCCUCCUCUGCUGGGGGUACGGGCGGCUCCAUGCCCCUGAGCCUGGCCGUGGAGACUGAGAAAGCCCAGGCAUUGCUCCAGACCUUCUCCUCUGCCUCCCUACUGGCCAGCACUGCGCUGGGGGCCUUCUGUGUGCUGGCUGACCACGUCAUGCAGCUGACCCUACUCCAACAGCACCUGUGGCUGCGGGCAGUUCUGGACAACACCGUCCAUUGUCUGAUAGGCCUCUGGUCCUGGGCUAUCGUCAUUGGCCUCAAGAAGAAGAGUGACUUCUAUGAAGUUAUCUUAGCGGGGAUACUGGCCUCUGUUAUAGACCUGGAUCAUUUCCAUAUGGCUGGCUCUCUGUCGCUCAAAGCAGCCACCAGCUUGCCCCACCGCCCCCCCCUCCACUGCUCCUCUCUAAUCCCGGUCCUCUGCUUCUCUCUGAGGCUGGUGCUGUGGCUGGGCAGGCUCAAGGACUCGUGGUGCUCUCUACCCUGGCUGCUGUUUAUCUCCCUCGCCUCACACCACAUCCGAGACGGGGUCCGCCAUGGCCUGUGGGUGUGUCCGUUCGGCAACACGGCCCCCAUCUCCUAUUGGCUGUAUGUGAGCAUCACAGCCACCCUGCCACACCUGUGCUCUUCCGUCACUCUCAGGCUGUGUCCUGUGUGACUGUCAGUGUGGAAGUGCUUGAUGUCGAGCUGUGAGGUAUUUUAUAGCCUUGUAAUUACCAGACGGAUUACUGCUGUGCUGUCAGUGUAGCUAAGCAGAAUGUAAGGAGAGAUGUUUGUACGAGGGUAUUUUACUGAUGGGGUCAAAUGGAAAGGCGACAUUAUAAUUCUCUACUCUUCUCCUGAAGUGUCCACUUGGAUGGACUGGAAGGUCCAACGCAACAGAGCAGUACAUUAUGAAGCUGAAGGUCCUAGGGAACAGAGCAGUACAUUAUGAAGCUGAAGGUUCUAGGGAACAGAGCAGUACAUUAUGAAGCUGAAGGUCCCAGGGAACAGAGCAGUACAUUAUGAAGCUGAAGGUUCUAGGGAACGGAGCAGUACAUUAUGAAGCUGAAGGUCCCAGGGAACAGAGCAGUACAUUAUGAAGCUGAAGGUCCUAGGGAACAGAGCAGUACAUUAUGAAGCUGAAGGUUCUAGGGAACAGAGCAGUACAUUAUGAAGCUGAAGGUCCCAGGGAACAGAGCAGUACAUUAUGAAGCUGAAGGUUCUAGGGAACGGAGCAGUACAUUAUAAGUGUUUCUUAUUGGUGGAGCCUCCAGUUGCUGCCUGAUGUUAGUGAUGAUGUAGUACUCAUUAGGUGAUGUCAUGUUUUAACAUGUGUUUUUAGGAAAGACCGAGGCUUUCUGUGUUGAGAUAUGUUUUUAUCUAUAUAAUCGAGGGAAGAUGACAUUUGGAGAAACGCUGUUUAAACAUUCCUUUAAUAUGUUCCUACUUUGUGAUCUUAGUAUUUGAGUUGUAUCAGUCGGUGUUCUGAUGAGAGGGUGAACAGCUGUGGGUAUAUUCACUAGGUACUGAACGGAGUAAGAUCGAUUUAAAACAGGCCUGGGAUUUAACCUGAACUUGUCUAAAAAUAAACACUUUUUUUUUUUGUUGCAAAACUUGUUGCUUUGCAAAAUGUUUCGCUAAAUUGUG